rnacentral:misc_RNA from 1 species
AACUUUUGACAAUGGAUCACUUGGUUCUGGCAUCGAUGAAGAACGCAGCGAAAUGCUAUAAGUAAUGUGAAUUGCAGAAUUCAGUGAAUCAUCGAAUCUUUGAACGCACAUUGCGCCCUCUGGUAUUCCGGGGGGCAUGCCUGUUCGAGCGUCAUUACAACCCUCAAGCACUGCUUGGUAUUGGGCUACACACGACUGGGUGGGCCUUAAAAUCAGUGGCGGUGCCAUCUGGCUCUAAGCGUAGUAAUUCUUCUCGCUCUGGAGAUCUAGGUGUUUGCUUGCCAGCAACCCCCAAUUUAUCAAAGGUUGACCUCGGAUCAGGUAGGGAUACCCGCUGAACUUAAGCAUAUCAAUAAGCGGAGGCU